GACGAACGCUGGCGGCGUGCCUAAUACAUGCAAGUCGAACGCAGUGGGGACGGGUGAGUAACACGUGGGUAACCUCCCAUCAGAGGGGAUAACACUUGGAAACAGGUGCUAAACCGAUACUGAUGGAUGGACCCGCGGUGCAUUAGCUAGUUGGUGAGGUACAGGAUCACCAAGGCCACGAUGCAUAGCCGACAUGAGAGGGUGACCAGCAAAACUGGAACUGAGAGACGGUCCAGAAGCCUACGGGAGGCAGCAGUGGGGAAUAUUGCACAAUGGGCGCAAGCCUGAUGCAGCCAUGCCGCGUGUAUGAAGAAGGCCUUCGGGUUGUAAAGUACUUUCAGCGGGGAGGCGUUACCCGCAGAAGAAGCACCGGCUAACUCCGUGCCAGCAGCCGCGGUAAUU
rnacentral:rRNA from 1 species